AUUCCGGUUGAUCCUGCCGGAGGCCAUUGCUAUCGGAGUCCGAUUUAGCCAUGCUAGUCGAGCGAGGUUAGCCCUCGCGGCGAACAGCUCAGUAACACGUGGCCAAGCUACCCUGCGGAGGGGGACAGCGUCGGGAAACUGACGGGAAUCCCCCAUACCGGUCUCACGCUGGAAUGCCGAGACCGACAAACGCUCCGGCGCUGCAGGAUGCGGCUGCGGCCGAUUAGGUAGUCGGUGGGGUAACGGCCCACCGAGCCGAUAAUUGGUACGGGGUGUGAGAGCACGAGCCCGGAGACGGAAUCUGAGACAAGAUUCCGGGCCCUACGGGGCGCAGCAGGCGCGAAACCUUUACACUGCAUGAAGGUGCGAUAAGGGGACUCCGAGUGCGAGGGCAUACAGUCCUCGCUAUUGUGUACCGUAGGGUGGUACACGACCAAGAGCUGGGCAAGACCGGUGCCAGCCGCCGCGGUAAUACCGGCAGCUCGAGUGAUGGCCGAUUUUAUUGGGC
rnacentral:rRNA from 1 species